CGGGCGCUUGUGGUCGUGGUCCCGGGCGUCCGGCAAUGCCGCGCUCGCCUCCGCGGCGCCGGUGCCGGUGAUGGGCUCGUGGAGCGCGAGGAUGACCAUACUGCCUUUGGAAUAAUAAAAUCAGCAAAAAAACUAUUUUGCAUAGGCGUUACGAGGUAUUGGGAAGUAUUUGGAAGUAUUUCCAAGUAUUGUAAAAGAGAUCGGUUAGUUAUAUUUUUAACUGCAUUUAAUGUUUCAUGUAUGUGUCUAAAGAUUUGAUGUGACGGAUACUGUAGCAAGUUUUUAAAAAGAACUUCAGUCGUCGCUUUCUUAUGGGCUGACAUAAAUCGGAAUGGUUAAAACCUACCCUCAGAGCUCGUCUCUCCGCAUCCGCCGCGCAAAAGUGUAUGCGUGCCGUCCUGCGCGCGUUCUGGUUAUUUUGCAAAAAUAUCCUCCACUUUUCUAUAAAUCACAACUCAGUGCAACACAUCCAAAAUGUUCAGAAAUCAUGUUCUAAUAUUGUUCAUGUAGAUCCUCCUUGAAAAACUUAAUUUUAUAAACACCCUCGAGAUGCACCUUUGCGAAAACGCCCUCCCGCAGUCCCGAACGACCGAACCUCCUCGCUCUCCUCCCGGCUCCCCUCUCCUGCUCCCCACCUCCGCCCUCUCUUUCCCUCUCUGCUCUCUGCGUCCGCGCCGCCGCCUCCCCUCCCCUUCUCCCUCUCCGCCUGCCUCCAUCGUCCCUCCCAGCCGCCGCUCCUCCUGCUGUUCACCGCCGCCGCCCGCUCCUGCAAGAUCCGGAUCUGGCGGUGGGGCGUGGCUUGGAGGAUGACCGGGGGGGGUGGAGGAUCCAGAUCCGGCAGCGCGGCCCGACCGAUGCCGGUGCUUGGGCGGGUAGGACAGCCCCCCUCACCGCAGCGCUCCUCCCCUCUGGGAUCCGGCGCCCGGCCGGGCUGCCUCGUGGAGCAGCGGCUCCUCCCCUCCGGGAUCCGGCAAGGGGGUCCCCUCCGGGAUCCGGCAAGGGGGUGCCUCGUGGAGCGGCGGCUCCUCCCUCCGGAUCCGGCGAGGGCCGCGGCUGCAGGGCCGGCGUGGCACACCCACCUUGUCUUCCGGAUAGGAAAGAUGGCCGCGCUGCUUUGCUGACGAAGGAAGAACUGCUCGUGCCAAUCAGCUUAACCAGAUCCUUGCGUGAAUUAAGAUAAUAGGAGGAUGUAUUACUCUGCACCAGUUCUAGAGGCAAGACCAGAGGUAUGUGUUCUUACUAAAUCAUCAAUCAUCUAUAUAAUUGAAACACUAUGCACCAGUUCUAGAGGUAAGACCAGAGGUAUAUGCAAUUGCCCCUUUUUUUCUUACUGAAUCAUCAAUCAUCUAUAGAAAUAAAACAAGGUUUUAACUGUAGUAGAAAAUAUUUUGUGCAGGAGAACACCCCUUACGUUUUGUGGAGGAGAACACCCGUUGCCCCAAAAUCUCCGGAGAAGUCAGCGAAUCCUCAGAGCAAGAGGUACAGAAUUGGUGAGUGAGACUUCCACCCCUCUGAUUCAUUACUGAUAUAAUCAGCCGGAUCCAAUAUUUUCUUAUUUCUAUCACCAUCCUGUGAGGCUAUGUCAUGUUUGCGUUCAGAAAUCAGCAGCAAGGUAUCAUGACGACGUGAUCUGGGAAACAGCUCUCCACUGCUUGCUUGCUCAACCUCCUCUUUUUCCACUGAAGUUCUAUCAUAUAAGAAGUUUCUUAAUUUUGGAUAGGCCACUGAAAACUUAUUUGUUGUCAAAAUGGGUUAGUCACAAGUUUAAAGGAAAUGGCUGCCAGCCUUCCUGUGCGCCGGUUAUUUUUCUUUUAUUGGUGUGAAAUGUUUCUUUUGUCCUAAUGUCAUCUGAAUUUUUAUUCAUUGUGUAUAUUAGCCUUAGUGUAAUUUCUUUACCCAGCAGGCCAUCUACUGCUUGCAUGUGCUUCAUUUUGUUUUAAUCCAAUAAAGCAGUGUAAUUUCCCAAGGUAAUAUUGUUGCUGCCUUUUGGUCUGUGCUUGGUAAUUCUCUUCCAUUAAAAGGGCGUCUACUUUCCUCAUGAUCUUGAAUUUAGUAUGCUUGAUAAUAAGUUCAACACCCAAACUAGGAAUAGAUAAUAAUCUUAAUGAGCCGAAGCAUUAGUUUGCAAGAAAGAAUUUUAUUGACUAUUGAUAUCCAAACCUCAUGGUCUGCAGGUAGAUUUGGAGGAAUAUAUGGGCAGUCAAAGCUUUCGAACAUAUUGCAUACUAAUGAACUUGCCAGUGAUUUAAGGUAUGUCUUUCUCCAUCUAAUACAUGACCUUUUAUUUUUUUUGGUGCAAGUAUUGUACAUUUAUGUGAUAAGGACAUAAGGUAGAGUGGUAGACAUUGCUUUUUUAGUUCAGUCUGUUUUUCCCCAUGCUACCACAUUAAUGCAGACCUUUUACUAAUUGGGCUUCCUACUGCUAUGCUAUGGUUAGUUUUUUUUUGAGCGUGCUAAACUUUUUUUACUUCAAAAAUUGUUAAUCCUGAUGUAGUUAUGUUUACUUUUGAUUGUGGAAAGAAGUCGAGAAGGCUAUCCAUCAGGUUUAAGAGGCUUGGUAUGGUUGAGAUCCCAAGAUAUUCUCUCCGUUUGCCUUGAAUGCUGCUUGCAAAAAUAGUCUCUGUUUGGAUUGAAUACAACCUGCAACAAGACUUAUUUUAUCAUUAUUAAUUGCCUAUCAUUUUUUAGAUUUCAAAAACAUAUUAGGAGAGUGUGCAGACUGCCCAUAAUGUGAUCUCAUGCAUUUUACUGCUGGGUUUGUGACUACACAUUGACUUUUGGACCUAUGCAGGUUUUCUAAUUUUAUCGGUACCUGCAUCAAGCCACCAAGGUUAGCUUCUGGGAGGCCUAAUUAUCAUUGCUCAGGUGUAUACAAAAUUCUUACUUUCACUUGCAUUGUAGACUACGGAUAUGAGCAGUAGACUAAUGUAGUUACCUGCAACUUCAUUAUUCAGAAUGCUGAAGUUUAGAUAGUAUAGUAUUAUCAGAAUGAAAUUAGAGAAGUGGUCCUAAACUAAGCUGGUUGACAAAUAGAAGUAUUAAAACUUCCCAUAUCCAUUCCCUUGACAGAAGCAUUACUCUGGCAGAUAUGCUCUUAUUAUUAUAAAAAUGUUUUCCAUAAGUUAUUUUUUCCUCUACGACCAAGCCACAGAAGAGCAAGGAAGAGGUUGGCCUCCCAUGCACAAGCUCUUUUUCUUAUCAGCAUCAGAUAGGUUAUUGUCAGAACCUAAGUCUGAAUAAAAAAUUAUUUAGUAGUCCUUAUUUCGGUACUAAAUAGUCAUGUUUCUGAUGGCUCCCUUUUAUAAUGGAAGGAAGGAUGCUUAGUCACAAGAAUGGAGAAUUGGAGCUGAGAUUCAUGCCGACUCAAUAAUUUUUUAUGGAUUAUUCAGCUACACCACACUGUUGCGUUACUGUUGUGGUUUAUGUAUUGUUCAAGGCAUAGUUUUUUCCCGAGAUGAGUUGAAGGCAUAGUUAAGAUAACCUGUAAUUGCUUGUGCAUGAACUUAUGCUGCUUACAGUAAAAUUAUCGACCUUGUAUUAGUAAGUGAUUUACGGUAUCAGUUACAUAAUGCCCUUUCAUGUGUAAGCUCCUAUCUUUGUUAAAAUACAAAUCCAUUCCUAUUGUUAGGCUUUCACUGUGUCA